rfam:Gossypium arboreum cultivar AKA8401 contig_8377_5, whole genome shotgun sequence.
UAUUAAAAAUUUCAUCCAUUUUUACUAUUAAAAACUUAUGUAGCUAACAUAAUAACAAGACAGUUACACAUGGUGUAUUACAUGCACCUGAUUCUAACGUACAUAAUUUAAUUUUUAAUAGUAAAAAUAGAUGAAGUUUUUAAUA